rnacentral:rRNA from 1 species
UAGAGUUUGGAUCCUGGCUCAGAUUGAACGCUGGCGGCAGGCCUAACACAUGCAAGUCGAGCGGUAACAUUUCUAGCUUGCUAGAAGAUGACGAGCGGCGGACGGGUGAGUAAUGCUUGGGAAUAUGCCUUAGGGUGGGGGACAACAGUUGGAAACGACUGCUAAUACCGCAUAACGUCUACGGACCAAAGGGGGCUUCGGCUCUCGCCCUUAGAUUAGCCCAAGUGGGAUUAGCUAGUUGGUGAGGUAAUGGCUCACCAAGGCGACGAUCCCUAGCUGGUUUGAGAGGAUGAUCAGCCACACUGGAACUGAGACACGGUCCAGACUCCUACGGGAGGCAGCAGUGGGGAAUAUUGCACAAUGGGCGCAAGCCUGAUGCAGCCAUGCCGCGUGUGUGAAGAAGGCCUUAGGGUUGUAAAGCACUUUCAGUAAGGAGGAAAGGUUAGUAGUUAAUACCCUGCUAGCUGGACGUACU